AAAGAAUUAAUUGAUUAAAGAAGUAUAAAGAAUUGAUAUAUAUAUAUUCAUUAGAUAAAAUAAGAAAAAUCGUUCUCUCUCUAGUUUUUCUAGAGAGAGAAAUUUUCUCUGAAGGAAAACUCCUUUUUCCUUCUCUCGGAUUGUAGUCGAGCAUUUCCGGUGACUUUCCCUUGCCCUCUAGACGAGGGAUGGCGGUUCUCUCCGACUUGGUGAAUCCUUUAUAGGUAUAGGUUGUACAGUUUUGGGUUUUGUUUCGUUUUGCAAAUCCUGAGGUCCUAUCGAUGGCAUUAGCUUGGUGUUUGGUUUUGGUGCAAGGAGAGGUUUUAAGGAAGACGUCACAGGGAUGGAGUGCUAAAGUUGAUAUUGAGUUUAUUGGUUGUCCAUGGCUAGAUGAGAUUGAGAUGCCAUGGUCCUUACUCUCCUUCUCUUCCACGCAAAGCCAGAAGCUUGGAGUUCUUUUCUACCGAGAGAUGCUUCGCUUGGUUGCAUGGGUGUCGAGAUCUAUGGCUUUGGAUCUUUGGAUGGUUUGGCCUUUGGCCUUUUCUUGCUUUUGCAGUUGCUCUUUCUUUUUUCAUGUCUCCGAUGGUUUGCUAUUGCCUAUACCGAUGAUGGCGUUGUGCUUGAUAGAUUCUCUGGUUGUUUGCUUGGAGUCCUUAGAUCUAGAGUUUGGCAGCUGAGUAUUCUGAGCUUUAUCAUUCUGGGCCUGUGCUUGAUAGGAUUUGUUUAUAUUUCUAAGCUUUGUGCCUUUGUUCCUUGUAAUCUUGCCCAUUUGAAUUUUAAUGCAAUGUAUUUGCAAUUUCAA
rnacentral:misc_RNA from 1 species